rnacentral:rRNA from 1 species
ACGAACGCUGGCGGCGUGCUUAACACAUGCAAGUCGAGCGGUAAGGCUCCUUCGGGAGUACACGAGCGGCGAACGGGUGAGUAACACGUGAGCAAUCUGCCCUUCACUUCGGGAUAACUCCGGGAAACCGGUGCUAAUACCGAAUACGACCACUUCAGGCAUCUGAUGGUGGUGGAAAGUUCCGGCGGUGAAGGAUGAGCUCGCGGCCUAUCAGCUUGUUGGUGGGGUAACGGCCCACCAAGGCAACGACGGGUAGCCGGCCUGAGAGGGUGACCGGCCACACUGGGACUGAGACACGGCCCAGACUCCUACGGGAGGCAGCAGUGGGGAAUAUUGGACAAUGGGCGAAAGCCUGAUCCAGCAACGCCGCGUGAGGGAUGACUGCCUUCGGGUUGUAAACCUCUUUCAGCAGGGACGAAGCGCAAGUGACGGUACCUGCAGAAGAAGCACCGGCCAACUACGU